rnacentral:rRNA from 1 species
AACGAACGCUGGCGGCAUGCCUAACACAUGCAAGUCGAACGAGACCUUCGGGUCUAGUGGCGCACGGGUGCGUAACGCGUGGGAACCUGCCCUUAGGUUCGGAAUAACUCCCCGAAAGGGGUGCUAAUACCGGAUAAUGUCUUCGGACCAAAGAUUUGUCGCCUUUGGAUGGGCCCGCGUUGGAUUAGCUAGUUGGUAGGGUAAAAGCCUACCAAGGCGACGAUCCAUAGCUGGUCUGAGAGGAUGAUCAGCCACACUGGGACUGAGACACGGCCCAGACUACUACGGGAGGCAGCAGUGGGGAAUAUUGGACAAGGGGCGAAAGCCUGAUCCAGCAAGGCCGCGUGAGUGAUGAAGGCCUUAGGGUUGUAAAGCUCUUUUACCCGGGAUGAUAAUGACAGUACCGGGAGAAUAAGCUCCGGCUAACUCCGUG